CUUGGAUUCCUUCUUUGAGGAGAAUCCAUGUCGAAUGAUCUGACAAACACUGCACUUCUCUGAUGUGCAAAGGCUGGAAGAGCCAUUCGAGCCAAGAGAGCAGGCAAUUGCGGUGCCAUGGAACCAUCAUUUCUACUAUCUUCCUAGAGGUGUCUCCCUCCACAAGUUCGCUCACUGCAGAGAUAAUAUGAUCACAGUCCAUCAGGAUAGAUGUGAAGAAAGGAAAUAUGAGAAAUGAUUAAACCUAUCAGUUCUAUGAGGCAACAGCUGCAGAGGAUACCUGCACAUCUGUUUCAUGGGAGAACCUUGGUGCUGGAACAGCAUGAUGAACUGCAGCAACACCAUUGCCAGGCAAAGCAGGAGAGAGAGAUGAAACCCCAGAAAAGCUAGG